rnacentral:rRNA from 1 species
UAGAGGAAGUAAAAGUCGUAACAAGGUCUCCGUUGGUGAACCAGCGGAGGGAUCAUUACCGAGUUUACAACUCCCAAACCCCUGUGAACAUACCUUAUGUUGCCUCGGCGGAUCAGCCCGCGCCCCGUAAAAAGGGACGGCCCGCCGCAGGAACCCUAAACUCUGUUUUUAGUGGAACUUCUGAGUAUAAAAAACAAAUAAAUCAAAACUUUCAACAACGGAUCUCUUGGUUCUGGCAUCGAUGAAGAACGCAGCAAAAUGCGAUAAGUAAUGUGAAUUGCAGAAUUCAGUGAAUCAUCGAAUCUUUGAACGCACAUUGCGCCCGCCAGUAUUCUGGCGGGCAUGCCUGUUCGAGCGUCAUUUCAACCCUCAAGCCCAGCUUGGUGUUGGGAGCUGCAGUCCUGCUGCACUCCCCAAAUACAUUGGCGGUCACGUCGAGCUUCCAUAGCGUAGUAAUUUACAUAUCGUUACUGGUAAUCGUCGCGGCCACGCCGUUAAACCCCAACUUCUGAAUGUUGACCUCGGAUCAGGUAGGAAUACCCGCUGAACUUAAGCAUAUCAAUA